rnacentral:lncRNA from 1 species
AGAGACUAAACAUUGUUAAUGGCAACGAAACCAUAAACAUAGAGAAGUACCAAAUGCAGAAGUAAAAAAAAAAUUACAAACCAACAAAAACAAGUUCACAAAAACAAAGGGGCCAAAAACUUCAAAACAACUUCAACUUGAUGACACCAGUCUUCAGAACUGGAUUCUUCUUCAUCACUUGAGGACUCUGAGUUGUCAGCUUCACCAUCACUGCCAAAUUAUUCUUCCUAUUCUUCUUCACUGUCAGAUAUGUCUUCUUCCUCAACAUCC